GUGAGAGGUGGCACCAGGCCAAGAUGCUUUGAGGCAGGAUGUGGCCAGAGUAGCAGGGAGAUACCGGGGUCUGCGGGCAGAGGGCAGAACAGACUGUCCUGUGGAGCUGGGUUCUGGGCAAAGACUGUGGUAGAUCAUGGAAGCCACCAGGAGAAGUUCCCAUGUGGCCCAGGACCUCUGGGGGGAUGUGAGAGGUGGGGACACCUCCCAAAAGUGCAGCAUGGUGCUCUGGGUUCCAGGAGGUCAACAGACUGUCUGGCCAACAUCUCUCUUGUGGUAAAUGUGGGGAGGUGGGAAGUAGAAAUAAAGGAAACCUGGAAAGCUGUCCAGCCCAGGAAAGUCCUCACCCUGUGAUGACUGAUGAGGAGGGAGGAAGAGGUUUGGGGAGAGAGAUGCUGAGCCAGGAAGGGAAAAGGGAAGUGAAAGGCUGCAACCUGGGAUACUUCCUCCUCCCGGCUUCACCCUCCCGAUGACCUAGACCCGCUGAGGACUCACAGGGAGGAGGCCACAGAUUGUGGAGGCAAAAAGCCAGCGCGGAUCUGAUCAAGAACCAAGCCUCCAGAACUUCAUUUGCAAUUCGGCUGCUCCUUUGGCAAAAGGUCCCCUGUGCAGCUGUUCCACCCAGAGAGCCUCUGCCAGGUGUCCAUGGAUGCAGCUACCCCACCCCCACCCCCAGGAUCCCCCACCAGACUGCAGCAUCCAGAAGCUGGCUGACAGCGGGCAGACCAGCAUGGAAAUGGACAGAGCAGGGAUCUGAAGUCCUGUUCUGGCUUCACCAUUAGUGGGUCUGUGAACUUCUGUCUACCCCUCAUCCACUGAACCAGUUUCCUUGUUUGUAAAUUCAGGCCCUCGACUCCCCUAGCAAGAGACCCUGAUGUUGACAGCUAUAAAUCCUUCUCUCAAGAGUGGCUGCCCUGCUUCAUGAGUGGCCAACAAGAAGCCUCUCAUCUCAGCAUCUGCUGGCCCCACAGUUUAGAGGGACUCUCUUGGCUUCUCUGUCUGGAACUCUCGGACCUGGGGCCACACACCUCUGCAGGCUGGCUCACCUCAAGAGAUCAUCAUUGCAGUUUGGCUGCCUCUGCUGCUGUGUGAUCGUCCUAAUAACACUGCACAAGUGAAGAUACCCAGUCUAGAAGUCCAUUGUGAUAUCUUCCAAGGACUUGCAGAAACAUUAUGUUGAGUUUUCCCUUCCUUUGUGGACACUGUCUCCUGAGAGAUGGACAAAGAGCCUCUCUCCAGGACUUCCUACCCUCAGUGGCCCUUGGCUUCCACUCAGC
ensembl:lncRNA